AGCUUUGUGCAGUGGCGGUACCAUAGCCAAUGAGGUAUAUCCGAGGCGUGGUUAUUGCUAGUUAAAACUUAUAAUGUACCGCGUUGAGUCCCAAAAUACCGGGAGGCAAAUGAACUCCUCACAGACUAUUCUG